rnacentral:rRNA from 1 species
GACGGAGGAUGCAAGCGUUAUCCGGAAUUAUUGGGCGUAAAGCGUCCGUAGGUGGUUUAGUAAGUCUGCUGUUAAAGCGCGGGGCUUAACUCCGUAUCGGCAGUGGAAACUACUAGACUAGAGUGUGGUAGGGGUAGAGGGAAUUCCCAGUGUAGCGGUGAAAUGCGUAGAUAUUGGGAAGAACACCGGUGGCGAAGGCGGCUACCUGGACCGGUACUGACGCUGAUGCGCGAAAGCUCGGGUAGCAAACAGG